GGGGUUGUUUAUGAUCAUGUAAUCAUUUUGAACACAUAUACUUCCAUUAACCUAACGUUACUGUGACUUUUUUUAAAUGUACACCUCAGAAUCCAGGCCACACUGACCAGAGACCUGCACUCCUUUGGAUGAAGAAGGCUACCCGUGUAUACAUGUGUGAACCAUUUCUUGUGUUGGAAAAACAGGAGACCUGAAGAGCUCUUGAUGCUUUUGGUUUGCCUCAUCCAUUAUGUCAGCAAAGAACAGGAGUGGGCAGGAAACAUGCGCUGUUGAAAACAUGGCCAACCAACUGGAGCACCCACAAGGCUCUUGUGAAGGAAGUCCACAAGCCUUUGUGCUUCAGGAUGGAUGGAAAGAACUCUUUGAUCAACCCCCACAGAGAGCUGAGAUGGCUAUCUUUUGGAGACACCCCCGGCUGGUAGUGCUGCUGAAACUGGUGGAGGCAACAAUGAAGCGGCAACAGAAAGAGAAGGCAGGUGGCAAAGGUUGCUGCUAUUGAAAAAUACUUUGAGAGUGAGUAUGUGUGCAUGUAUGUAGCUGGGUAGGUCAUGGUACAUGGUACAAAAAUACAGAAUUUAAAGCACUAGCACAACACUUAACUCACAACUCACAACGACUGACAAUGGAAUUACU